CGAACGAAACUUUCUUACACCGAAUGCUUGCAUCACCGUAAGAAGUUGAGUGGCGGACGGGUGAGUAACACGUGGGUAACCUGCCUAAAAGAAGGGGAUAACACUUGGAAACAGGUGCUAAUACCGUAUAUCUCUAAGGAUCGCAUGAUCCUUAGAUGAAAGAUGGUUCUGCUAUCGCUUUUAGAUGGACCCGCGGGCGUAUUAACUAGUUGGUGGGGUAACGGCGCUACCAAGGUGAUGAUACGUAGCCAAACUGAGAGGUUGAUCGGCCACAUUGGGACUGAGACACGGCCCUCACUCCUACGGGAGGCAGCAGUAGGGAAUCUUCCACAAUGGACGCAAGUCUGAUGGAGCAACGCCGCGUGAGUGAAGAAGGUCUUCGGAUCGUAAAACUCUGUUGUUAGAGAAGAACACGAGUGAGAGUAACUGUUCAUUCGAUGACGGUAUCUAACCAGCAAGUCACGGCUAACUACGUGCCAGCAGCCGCGGUAAUACGUAGGUGGCAAGCGUUGUCCGGAUUUAUUGGGCGUAAAGGGAACGCAGGCGGUCUUUUAAGUCUGAUGUGAAAGCCUUCGGCUUAACCGGAGUAGUGCAUUGGAAACUGGAAGACUUGAGUGCAGAAGAGGAGAGUGGAACUCCAUGUGUAGCGGUGAAAUGCGUAGAUAUAUGGAAGAACACCAGUGGCGAAAGCGGCUCUCUGG
rnacentral:rRNA from 1 species